UAAAUCAGUUAUCGUUUAUUUGAUAGUACCUUACUACUUGGAUAACCGUGGUAAUUCUAGAGCUAAUACAUGCUAAAAACCCCGACUUCGGGAGGGGUGUAUUUAUUAGAUAAAAAACCAACGCCCUUCGGGGCUUCUUGGUGAUUCAUGAUAACUUAACGAAUCGCAUGGCCUUGCGCCGGCGAUGGUUCAUUCAAAUUUCUGCCCUAUCAACUUUCGAUGGUAGGAUAGUGGCCUACCAUGGUAUCAACGGGUAACGGGGAAUUAGGGUUCUAUUCCGGAGAGGGAGCCUGAGAAACGGCUACCACAUCCAAGGAAGGCAGCAGGCGCGCAAAUUACCCAAUCCCGACACGGGGAGGUAGUGACAAUAAAUACUGAUACAGGGCUCUUUUGGGUCUUGUAAUUGGAAUGAGUACAAUUUAAAUCCCUUAACGAGGAACAAUUGGAGGGCAAGUCUGGUGCCAGCAGCCGCGGUAAUUCCAGCUCCAAUAGCGUAUAUUAAAGUUGUUGCAGUUAAAAAGCUCGUAGUUGAACCUUGGGCCUGGCUGGCCGGUCCGCCUCACCGCGUGCACUGGUCCGGCCGGGCCUUUCCUUCUGGGGAGCCGCAUGCCCUUCACUGGGUGUGUCAGGGAACCAGGACUUUUACUUUGAAAAAAUUAGAGUGUUCAAAGCAGGCCUUUGCUCGGAUACAUUAGCAUGGAAUAAUAGAAUAGGACGUGCGGUCCUAUUUUGUUGGUUUCUAGGACCGCCGUAAUGAUUAAUAGGGAUAGUCGGGGGCAUCAGUAUUCAAUUGUCAGAGGUGAAAUUCUUGGAUUUAUUGAAGACUAACUACUGCGAAAGCAUUUGCCAAGGAUGUUUUCAUUAAUCAGUGAACGAAAGUUAGGGGAUCGAAGACGAUCAGAUACCGUCGUAGUCUUAACCGUAAACUAUGCCGACUAGGGAUCGGGCGAUGUUAUCAUUUUGACUCGCUCGGCACCUUACGAGAAAUCAAAGUC
rnacentral:rRNA from 1 species